rnacentral:rRNA from 1 species
GUUGGGUAGGGGAGCGUUCUGUAAGCCUGUGAAGGUGGCCUGUGAGGGUUGCUGGAGGUAUCAGAAGUGCGAAUGCUGACAUAAGUAACGAUAAAGCGGGUGAAAAGCCCGCUCGCCGGAAGACCAAGGGUUCCUGUCCAACGUUAAUCGGGGCAGGGUGAGUCGACCCCUAAGGCGAGGCCGAAAGGCGUAGUCGAUGGGAAACGGGUUAAUAUUCCCGUACUUGGUGUUACUGCGAAGGGGGGACGGAGAAGGCUAUGUUGGCCGGGCGACGGUUGUCCCGGUUUAAGCGUGUAGGUGUGUGUUCCAGGUAAAUCCGGUUCACUUUAACACUGAGGCGUGAUGACGAGGCACUACGGUGCUGAAGCAACAAAUGCCCUGCUUCCAGGAAAAGCCUCUAAGCAUCAGGUAACAUCAAAUCGUACCCCAAACCGACACAGGUGGUCAGGUAGAGAAUACCAAGGCGCUUGAGAGAACUCGGGUGAAGGAACUAGGCAAAAUGGUGCCGUAACUUCGGGAGAAGGCACGCUGACAYGUAGGUGAAGUGAUUUACUCAYGGAGCUGAAGUCAGUCGAAGAUACCAGCUGGCUGCAACUGUUUAUUAAAAACACAGCACUGUGCAAACACGAAAGUGGACGUAUACGGUGUGACGCCUGCCCGGUGCCGGAAGGUUAAUUGAUGGGGUCAGCGCAAGCGAAGCUCCUGAUCGAAGCCCCGGUAAACGGCGGCCGUAACUAUAACGGUCCUAAGGUAGCGAAAUUCCUUGUCGGGUAAGUUCCGACCUGCACGAAUGGCGUAAUGAUGGCCAGGCUGUCUCCACCCGAGACUCAGUGAAAUUGAACUCGCUGUGAAGAUGCAGUGUACCCGCGGCAAGACGGAAAGACCCCGUGAACCUUUACUAUAGCUUGACACUGAACAUUGAGCCUUGAUGUGUAGGAUAGGUGGGAGGCUUUGAAGYGUGGACGCCAGUCUGCAUGGAGCCGACCUUGAAAUACCACCCUUUAAUGUUUGAUGUUCUAACGUGGACCCGUAAUCCGGGUUGCGGACAGUGUCUGGUGGGUAGUUUGACUGGGGCGGUCUCCUCCUAAAGAGUAACGGAGGAGCACGAAGGUUGGCUAAUCCUGGUCGGACAUCAGGAGGUUAGUGCAAUGGCAUAAGCCAGCUUGACUGCGAGCGUGACGGCGCGAGCAGGUGCGAAAGCAGGUCAUAGUGAUCCGGUGGUUCUGAAUGGAAGGGCCAUCGCUCAACGGAUAAAAGGUACUCCGGGGAUAACAGGCUGAUACCGCCCAAGAGUUCAUAUCGACGGCGGUGUUUGGCACCUCGAUGUCGGCUCAUCACAUCCUGGGUGUUCGGGUUGUCAUGCCAAUGGCACUGCCCGGUAGCUAAAUGCGGAAGAGAUAAGUGCUGAAAGCAUCUAAGCACGAAACUUGCCCCGAGAUGAGUUCUCCCUGAGACUUAGAGUCUCCUGAAGGAACGUUGAAGACGACGACGUUGAUAGGCCGGGUGUGUAAGCGCAGCGAUGCGUUGAGCUAACCGGUACUAAUGAACCGUGAGGCUUAACCUU